rnacentral:rRNA from 1 species
CCUACGGGCGGCAGCAGUGAGGAAUAUUGGUCAAUGGACGAGAGUCUGAACCAGCCAAGUAGCGUGAAGGAUGACUGCCCUAUGGGUUGUAAACUUCUUUUAUAUAGGAAUAAAAUGUUCCACGUGUGGGAUUUUGUAUGUACCAUAUGAAUAAGGAUCGGCUAACUCCGUUCCAGCAGCCGCGGUAAUACGGAGGAUCCGAGCGUUAUCCGGAUUUAUUGGGUUUAAAGGGAGCGUAGGUGGAUUGUUAAGUCAGUUGUGAAAGUUUGCGGCUCAACCGGAAAAUUGCAGUUGAAACUGGCAGUCUUGAGUACAGUAGAGGUGAGCGGAAUUCGUGGUGUAGCGGUGAAAUGCUUAGAUAUCACGAGGAACUCCGAUGGCGAAGGCAGCUCACUGGACUGCAACUGACACUGAGGCUCGAAAGUGUGGGUAGCAAACAGGAUUAGAUACCCGAGUAGUC